rnacentral:rRNA from 1 species
ACCUGCCCAUUGAGAUUUGAAAGGCCGCGGUAUUAUGACCGUGCUAAGGUAGCAUAAUCAUUAGUCUUUUAAUUGGAGGCUGGAAUGAAUGGUCGGACAAGAGAUAAGCUGUCUUAAGUAAAAAUAUUGAAUUUAACUUUUAAGUGAAAAGGCUUAAAUCUUCUAGGGGGACGAUAAGACCCUAUAAAACUUUAUAUUUUGAAAUAAUAAUUAAUUUUGUGUGGGAGGUUUAUUUUUAAGUAUUUUAUUGGGGUGAUAAGGAUAAAAUAAUAAGUAACUGUCUUUUUUUAUUACAAUAAUAUUUGAGCAAAUGAACCUAGUAAGGGAAAGAAGAUUAAGUUACUUUAGGGAUAACAGCGUAAUUUUUUUUUAAGAGUUCUUAUCGACAAGAAAGUUUGCGACCUCGAUGUUGAAUUAAAAAUUCUUUAUAGAGCAGAAACUAUAAAAGAAGGUCUGUUCGACCUUUAAAAUUUUAC